UAAGUAGGGGGCAAGCGUUGUCCGGAAUUAUUGGGCGUAGAGCGCGCGCAGGCGGUGCGUUAAGUCGGAUGUGAAAGGCUACGGCUCAACUGUAGAGCUGCAUCCGAAACUGGCGGACUUGAGUGCAGGAGAGGGGAGUGGAAUUCCCGGUGUAGCGGUGGAAUGCGUAGAGAUCGGGAGGAACACCAGUGGCGAAGGCGACUCUCUGGCCUGUAACUGACGCUGAGGCGCGAAAGCGUGGGGAGCAAACAGG
rnacentral:rRNA from 1 species